rnacentral:tRNA from 1 species
UGUUCUGUGGCUGAGUUGGUUAAAGCGCCGGUCUAGCGAAUACGGAGUCGUGGGUUCGACUCCCGCCAGAACGC